GAUGAAGAACGCAGCGAAAUGCGAUACGUAAUGUGAAUUGCAGAAUUCAGUGAAUCAUCGAAUCUUUGAACGCACAUUGCGCCCUUUGGUAUUCCGAAGGGCAUGCCUGUUCGAGCGUCAUUAUCACCCCUCAAGCCCUCGGCUUGGUGUUGGACGGUUUGGUGGAGGCCCCCUCGGGGGCUCCUGCCCCUCCCAAAGACAAUGACGGCGGCCUCGUUGGACCCCCGGUACACUGAGUUCUUCACGGGACACGUAUCGGACACAUGGGUUUACGGGACACGGUCUGCCUCCCCUCAGGGAGAAUCUUUCUAAGGUUGACCUCGGAUCAGGUAGGGAUACCCGCUGAACUUAAGCAUAUCAAUAAGCGGAGGA
rnacentral:misc_RNA from 1 species